AGACACUAGGUGGAGGCCUUGGGCUGCCGUUUCACUGCAGUCGCUGAAGGCAGAAAGAGCAGAAGACUUGUGCUUUCAGAAGGGAGAUCUUUUUCUUUUCUCGCUGCGCUCACAUGCUAGAAAGGAAAGGUCCAAGCUCUCCAGGUGUGGAAUGGGAUGAACGGAGGAAUGGAGGAGAAGCGUCUGUCCCAUCCCAGGUCCUCCCUGCAACAGGAUUUUUGCAUUGACUUCGAGAGCUCCAUGGCUGCUCUGCAGACAGAUGCACAAUUGUGAAACAUCAAUAUGGACUGCAAAUCUGUACUGUCAGUCAGCUUCUCUUCCCCUCUGCAUAACGUAAUCCCUAGCUCCACAAUGCCUGCACAGAUACACAUUUGCAAAGAUUUUUUUCUGGAGAUAGCAUGCAUAGCAAGCCCUCCUUUACUUGUUCUCAUCUCUAGCAACAUUAUAUGGUGUUUCAGUUCACAGUUCACUGUGUUCCCCCACCUACCACUGAAAUGCAGCCAACUCUGAGCUGCGGCUAUUAAGCAUCACACAGCAACACCACAAAACAGAUUGUGGAAAGCAAAGGAAUUCAGAGAAAAGCAACAAACUGAGUGAGGACUGCAAGGGUUGUCUGGGAAGUGAUAUCAAAGGGUUAUAGGGAAUGAGUAGCGGUCAAUAGUGAUGCAGAAUAGCCAUCACCUUGAUAUUCAGGUGAUACCAGCAUGCAAGGGAGAGCUUUUGAGGGUGGCACAAAGAGAUGUCACUAGGAGUAGUCAGGUUUCAGCCAGGAAGGUGAGCAGGUCAGCUUCCCUAACCACUGAGUUUUGUCAGGCUGUCAGAGUCCCAAGGAAAGGGCUGCAGGCGUCAUUGCUUGAGGGUUUUAAAACUUGUCAAAGUUUGAAGACAGGACAAGGCAGUAUCAGGACAGGUGAAUUAAACGAGAUGGGGCAAA